GUUCUUGGCAAAGGUCUCGGGGUCUGCUGAAAGCCCAGCAGUGUCCCAACCAUAGUCACCGGGGAAUUCACCGGUCAAGUAUGAUGGAGUUUGCUCGGAGAAUGGGCCCAAGUACUUUGGGCGGUCUGGCCCAUACCAUAUGCUUUGGGGAGCACUUCUCACAGUGCGCCUCAUGGUGAUGCGGCCACCUCCGAAGCUGCCGAUCUUCCUGACAAGCUCAUUCUGGGGCUUCAGGGCAGUCUGUCCAGCGAAAGCCGACUGUUGGAUAGCAGAGGUGGCCAUAAGUGUGUGAAGCUUUCUUAGAAGUUUGAUGCGAUGCCAAAG
rnacentral:misc_RNA from 1 species